rnacentral:rRNA from 1 species
AUGAACGCUAGCUACAGGCUUAACACAUGCAAGUCGAGGGGCAUCAGGAAGAAAGCUUGCUUUCUUUGCUGGCGACCGGCGCACGGGUGAGUAACACGUAUCCAACCUGCCCUUUACUCGGGGAUAGCCUUUCGAAAGAAAGAUUAAUACCCGAUAGUAUAAUGAUUCCGCAUGGUUUCAUUAUUAAAGGAUUCCGGUAAAGGAUGGGGAUGCGUUCCAUUAGGUUGUUGGUGAGGUAACGGCCCACCAAGCCUUCGAUGGAUAGGGGUUCUGAGAGGAAGGUCCCCCACAUUGGAACUGAGACACGGUCCAAACUCCUACGGGAGGCAGCAGUGAGGAAUAUUGGUCAAUGGGCGCUAGCCUGAACCAGCCAAGUAGCGUGAAGGAUGAAGGCUCUAUGGGUCGUAAACUUCUUUUAUAUAAGAAUAAAGUGCAGUAUGUAUACUGUUUUGUAUGUAUUAUAUGAAUAAGGAUCGGCUAACUCCGUGCCAGCAGCCGCGGUAAUACGGAGGAUCCGAGCGUUAUCCGGAUUUAUUGGGUUUAAAGGGAGCGUAGGUGGACUGGUAAGUCAGUUGUGAAAGUUUGCGGCUCAACCGUAAAAUUGCAGUUGAUACUGUCAGUCUUGAGUACAGUAGAGGUGGGCGGAAUUCGUGGUGUAGCGGUGAAAUGCUUAGAUAUCACGAAGAACUCCGAUUGCGAAGGCAGCUCACUGGACUGCAACUGACACUGAUGCUCGAAAGUGUGGGUAUCAAACAGGAUUAGAUACCCUGGUAGUCCACACAGUAAACGAUGAAUACUCGCUGUUUGCGAUAUACAGUAAGCGGCCAAGCGAAAGCAUUAAGUAUUCCACCUGGGGAGUACGCCGGCAACGGUGGAACUCAAAGGAAUUGACGGGGGCCCGCACAAGCGGAGGAACAUGUGGUUUAAUUCGAUGAUACGCGAGGAACCUUACCCGGGCUUAAAUUGCAGUGGAAUGAUGUGGAAACAUGUCAGUGAGCAAUCACCGCUGUGAAGGUGCUGCAUGGUUGUCGUCAGCUCGUGCCGUGAGGUGUCGGCUUAAGUGCCAUAACGAGCGCAACCCUUAUCUUUAGUUACUAACAGGUUAUGCUGAGGACUCUGGAGAGACUGCCGUCGUAAGAUGUGAGGAAGGUGGGGAUGACGUCAAAUCAGCACGGCCCUUACGUCCGGGGCUACACACGUGUUACAAUGGGGGGUACAGAAGGCAGCUAGCGGGUGACCGUAUGCUAAUCCCAAAAGCCUCUCUCAGUUCGGAUCGAAGUCUGCAACCCGACUUCGUGAAGCUGGAUUCGCUAGUAAUCGCGCAUCAGCCACGGCGCGGUGAAUACGUUCCCGGGCCUUGUACACACCGCCCGUCAAGCCAUGGGAGCCGGGGGUACCUGAAGUACGUAACCGCAAGGAUCGUCCUAGGGUAAAACUGGUGACUGGGGCU